rnacentral:rRNA from 1 species
CUAAAGGAGAGACUUAUAUGGAGAAUUGGGAAUGGCAAUUCAGUUAGGAUCUGGGAAGAUCUGUGGGUCCCAAUAGUUGUGACUAGGCGCCCAUGUUCUCAUGAGGGCCAAGGUCUUCUUACCAAGGUCUUGGAAUUAAUUGACCCAACCAUGAGUUCAUGGGACAAGGCGUUAGUUGAGAACUAUUUCCAUCCGGACGGUGUUACUAUUAUAUUGAGCAUCCCUAUUUGUGAGCAAACAGAAGAUUUUCUAGCUUGGCACUUUGACAGCAAGGGAGUGUUUUUAGUUAAGUCUGCGUAUAGAGUUCAUAUCGACAUGUUGCAUCGUGAGACCACCAGACAGAGAGGGCAAAAUUGAGGAGCAGAGACACAUGACACUGCAAUUUAUGAAUCGCUAUGGAAGAUCAACUGCCCACCGAGAGUGCACCACUUCCUUUGGAGGCUGGCACACAACAGUCAUCCCAUAUAUAUGAACAUCAGCAGGUGAGGAGUGGAGCUUGAUACUCGAUGUGCUGUAUGUGGGCGACUUUUUGAAGAUGGCGGGCAUCUGUUCAUUAAGUGCAAAUUGGUAAAACAACGGUGGCGAGCUCUGCAAGUGGAGGAUGUCCGAAUCAACCUCUCCCAGCUUGGAUCAGCAAAGGAGGUCAUUCAGACUAUUCUCAGGUUGUCGGAGGGAAAAGAACUCAUGAACAUAGCACUGUUGUGGUUAUGGUGGUCUGAGAGGAACAAAUGCAAUCAUGGGGAGACAUUUGGGAGUUGCUGA